GACGAACCGUGCGAACGUUAUUCGGAAUUACUGGGCUUAAAGCGCGUGUAGGCGGGCCGGCACGUCGAGCGUUGAAAUCCCCCGGCUCAACCGGGGAAGGGCCUCGAUACGACCGGCCUGGAGGGGGGUAGGGGGAUCGGGAACUUCCGGUGGAGCGGUGAAAUGCGUUGAGAUCGGAAGGAACGCCCGCGGCGAAAGCGCGGUCCUGGACCCCACCUGACGCUGAGACGCGAAAGCCAGGGGAGCGAACAGG
rnacentral:rRNA from 1 species